GCGACCCCAGGUCAGGCGGGACUACCCGCUGAAUUUAAGCAUAUAAA
rnacentral:rRNA from 1 species